rnacentral:lncRNA from 1 species
UAACUGAUUUCCCCCAGAACAACUUCUGUCUCACUCAGGCAGCUGCCACAUAAAUGCUUCUUAUUUAUUUGUAAGCUAUGUGGCUAAAUGCACCUUCCACCGCCGGCUGAGCCGUGCCCCCGUCGGCUCUGCGAGGCUCCCCAGGGCGGUGCGUGCAGGAACCUGGAACAGAAUGAAAGUUAGGAUUGGAAAAGGGAAAAAUGGAGGAGUGAUUUUUUUUGUUUCCCCAGAAAGAAUGAACCCCCUUGAAAUGAAAAAGGCCAAAGGGCCUGCCACAAAACGUAGCAACCCGACCAACCAAGGGCCCGGAAAGAUUUUUGUAUUUGCAGGAAGUAGUCGAUGGAAAGGGCUCCGUUGUGUCAGGACGUGUUCAGUUAGGAACAGUUAUGGAAACUGCAUCUUCCAUUGUCUCCGUUGGACGCAGACCCUUCCUCCAGAGCCGGACCCCACGCUGUUCGUCAGCUGGAAGACAGCAACGGGGGCGGCCCACCCCGGAGCCAGAGCUGCCCUCGCCUCUGACCUGCAGCUUCAAGUGAGCGGGGCCCUGCAGCAAGCCAGGCAGCCCACCAGAUGUGCGUUACGCAUCCCGGCRGUCGUUGGCCAUGGACUAGACAACCGUGGUGGGGAAGGAGCUCUGCCAGGAUUUUCAGGCAGCCGGUUACCCUGGGCACUGCUGUUGAGUGUCAGAUGUGCCUAG